rnacentral:misc_RNA from 1 species
AAGUCGUAACAAGGUUUCCGUAGGUGAACCUGCGGAAGGAUCAUUAUCGAGAGAGGGCUUCGCGCUCCCGGGGUUUCGGCCCCCAACUCUUCACCCAUUGUCAAUUUACCCUUGUUGCUUUGGCGGAUUCCGGGGUUAUGUCUUGCGUAGGUUUCGUCAUAAACCCGUGCGAGAUGUGCCCCGGCGCCCGCCGGAGGCCCAUUAAAAUCUGUUUAUCAGUGAUGUCCGAGUAAAAACCAAUAAUAAAA